rnacentral:rRNA from 1 species
GAGUUUGAUUCUGGCUCAGGAUGAACGCUGGCGGCGUGCUUAACACAUGCAAGUCGAACGAAGCGAGAAGAAAGAAGUUUUUCGAAAUGGAUUUUUUCUUUGCUUAGUGGCGGACGGGUGCGUAACACGUAGGUAACCUGCCCUGUGCUUGGGAAUAACUCCGGGAAACCGGUGCUAAUGCCGAAUAAUAUCGCCUGUCGGCAUCGAGAGGCGAUCAAAGAAUUUUGGCACAGGAUGGGCCUGCGCCGGAUUAGCUGGUUGGUGAGGUAACGGCUCACCAAGGCGACGAUCCGUAGCCGACCUGAGAGGGUGAUCGGCCACACUGGAACUGAGACACGGUCCAGACUCCUACGGGAGGCAGCAGUGGGGAAUAUUGCACAAUGGGGGAAACCCUGAUGCAGCAACGCCGCGUGAGCGAUGAAGGCUUUCGAGUCGUAAAGCUCUGUCCUAUGGGAAGAUGAUGACG